rnacentral:rRNA from 1 species
GGGUUUAAGGGUUCGUAGGCUGUUAGAUAAGUCAGAGCUGAAAUUUUGUCGCUUAACGAUAAAACUGGCUUUGAUACUGUUUGACUAGAAUUAUUGUGAAGUAGUUAGAAUGUGUAGUGUAGCGGUGAAAUGCAUAGAUAUUACACAGAAUACCGAUUGCGAAGGCAGAUUACUAACAAUACAUUGACGCUGAUGAACGAAAGCGUGGGUAGCGAACGGGAUUAGAUACCCCGGUAGUCCACGCCGUAAACGAUGGAUACUAGUUGUUGGAAUUAUUCAGUGACUAAGCGAAAGUGAUAAGUAUCCCACCUGGGGAGUACGGUCGCAAGAUUGAAACUCAAAGGAAUUGACGGGGGCCCGCACAAGCGGUGGAGCAUGUGGUUUAAUUCGAUGAUACGCGAGGAACCUUACCAGGGCUUAAAUGUAUGACGACAGGUUUAGAGAUAGACUUUUCUUCGGACGUUAUACAAGGUGCUGCAUGGUUGUCGUCAGCUCGUGCCGUGAGGUGUCAGGUUAAGUCCUAUAACGAGCGCAACCCCUAUCGUUAGUUGCCAUCAUUUAGUUGGGGACUCUAGCGAGACUGCCAGUGCAAACUGCGAGGAAGGUGGGGAUGACGUCAAAUCAUCACGGCCCUUACGUCCUGGGCUACACACGUGCUACAAUGGUAUAUACAGAGAGCAGCCAACUGGCAACAGUGCGCGAAUCUACAAAGUAUAUCACAGUUCGGAUUGGAGUCUGCAACUCGACUCCAUGAAGCUGGAAUCGCUAGUAAUCGCAUAUCAGCCAUGAUGCGGUGAAUACGUUCCCGGGCCUUGUACACACCGCCCGUCAAGCCAUGGAAGCUGGGGGUGCCUGAAGUCGGUGAGCGCAAGCAGCUGCCUANGGUAAAACUGGUAACUAGGGCUAAGUCGUAACAAGGUAACCAUCUUUCUAGAANAUC